rnacentral:rRNA from 1 species
GAUGAACGCUGGCGGCGUGCCUAAUACAUGCAAGUCGAGCGAACAGACGAGGAGCUUGCUCCUUUGACGUUAGAGGCGGACGGGUGAGUAACACGUAGGUAACCUACCUAUAAGACUGGGAUAACUUCGGGAAACCGGAGCUAAGACCGGAUAAUAUUUCGAACCGCAUGGUUCGAUAGUGAAAGAUGGCUUUGCUAUCACUUAUAGAUGGACCUGCGCCGUAUUCGCUAGUUGGUAAGGUAACGGCUUACCAAGGCAACGAUCCGUAGCCGACCUGAGAGGGUGAUCGGCCACACUGGAACUGAGACACGGUCCAGACUCCUACGGGAGGCAGCAGUAGGGAAUCUUCCGCAAAGGGCGAAAGCCUGACGGAGCAACGCCGCGUGAGUGAUGAAGGUCUUCGGAUCGUAAAACUCUGUUAUUAGUGAAGAACAAACGUGUAAGUAACUGUGCACGUCUUGACGGUACCUAAUCAGAAAGCCACGGCUAACUACGUG